rnacentral:RNase_P_RNA from 1 species
ACAGGCCACCAGACGGUCGCGUUCGGACCGCGUGUCCGGCCGAGGAAAGUCCGGGCUCCGCAGAGCACGGUGGUGGCUAACAGCCACCCGGGGAAACCCGCGGGAAAGUGCCGCAGAAAGCUAAACCGCCAGCCUGCUGGUAAGGGUGAAAAGGUGGUGUAAGAGACCACCAGGGCCCGCGGUGACGCGGGCCGCUGGGUAAACCCCACCGGGAGCAAGAUCGUGCAGACGGCCACACGGCUGCUCGUCGUGCCGUCGGGUGGAUUGCUUGAGGCCUGCAGCAAUGCAGGUCCUAGACAGAUGACCGUCGCUCAGGCUUCGGCCUGAGAACAGAACCCGGCUUAUCGGUGGCCUGUCCCC